CGCUGGCGGCGUGCUUAACACAUGCAAGUCGAACGAAGAGCGAUGGAAGCUUGCUUCUAUUAAUCUUAGUGGCGAACGGGUGAGUAACGCGUAAUCAACCUGCCCUUCAGAGGGGGACAACAGUUGGAAACGACUGCUAAUACCGCAUACGAUCUAACCUCGGCAUCGAGGAUAGAUGAAAGGUGGCCUCUAUUUAUAAGCUAUCACUGAAGGAGGGGAUUGCGUCUGAUUAGCUAGUUGGAGGGGUAACGGCCCACCAAGGCGAUGAUCAGUAGCCGGUCUGAGAGGAUGAACGGCCACAUUGGGACUGAGACACGGCCCAGACUCCUACGGGAGGCAGCAGUGGGGAAUCUUCCGCAAUGGACGAAAGUCUGACGGAGCAACGCCGCGUGAAUGAUGACGGCCUUCGGGUUGUAAAGCUCUGUUAAUCGGGACGAAAGGCCUUCUUGCGAAUAGUUAGAAGGAUUGACGGUACCGGAAUAGAAAGCCACGGCUAACUACGUGCCAGCGGCCGCGGUAAUACGUAGGUGGCAAGCGUUGUCCGGAAUUAUUGGGCGUAAAGCGCGCGCAGGCGGAUUGGUCAGUCUGUCUUAAAAGUUCGGGGCUUAACCCCGUGAUGGGAUGGAAACUGCCAAUCUAGAGUAUCGGAGAGGAAAGUGGAAUUCCUAGUGUAGCGGUGAAAUGCGUAGAUAUUAGGAAGAACACCAGUGGCGAAGGCGACUUUCUGGACGAAAACUGACGCUGAGGCGCGAAAGCCAGGGGAGCGAACGGGAUUAGAUACCCCGGUAGUCCUGGCCGUA
rnacentral:rRNA from 1 species